CGGACGGGUGAGUAACGCGUGGGUAACCUGCCUCAUACAGGGGGAUAACAGUUGGAAACGACUGCUAAUACCGCAUAGGCCCACGGAUCCGCAUGGAUCUGCGGGAAAAGGAUUUAUUCGCUUCAGGAUGGACUCGCGUCCAAUUAGCUAGUUGGUGAGGUAACGGCCCACCAAGGCGACGAUUGGUAGCCGGACUGAGAGGUUGAACGGCCACAUUGGGACUGAGACACGGCCCAG
rnacentral:rRNA from 1 species